UCUUUUCAGUUUCUGCUCUUUCUCUCCAGUUCUACUCAGAUGUCGUUCUGUGUGUGAGGCCUGCUCUAUCUCGUUCAGUCUGUUUAGCGGCCCCCCUCUUUCCUCUAAAAUCGAUUUACACUUAGCAAUGUCAUAGCAGUGUUCAAAACUUAGGGAUACCGUAGGGAACAAGAUGGAUAAGACCUUUUCAUGGAGUUUGCACUCAUUUGGGGUAGCCAUGCACGACUAAAUCAAUCACAGUGUGGCACGUGCACUCAUUGUCUGCUAUGCUUAAGCAGUGAGAUAGCACAGAGAAAACUCCCAGUCCAUAAAUGCCUAGUGGGCCAAACAAUGAACAAAAAAGGGUGAUAUUAGAGAAAUAAGGCUGUGAGGUAUUCGAGGAAAAGGUAUUCAUGACACUUGUUAAAGAUAUCAGGGCAGAGCCGGCGCCGUGGCUCAAUAGGCUAAUCCUCCACCUUGCGGCGCCGGCACACCGGGUUCUAGUCCCGGUCAGGGCACCGGAUUCUGUCCCGGUUGCCCCUCUUCCAGGCCAGCUCUCUGCUAUGGCCAGGGAGUGCAGUGGAGGAUGGCCCAGGUGCUUGGGCCCUGCACCCCAUGGGAGACCAGGAAAAGCACCUGGCUCCUGGCUCCUGCCAUCGGAUCAGCGUGGUGCGCCGGCCGCAGUGCGCCGGCCGCGGCAGCCAGUGGAGGGUGAACCAACGGCAAAGGAAGACCUUUCUCUCUGUCUCUCUCUCUCACUGUCCACUCUGCCUGUCAAAAAAAAAAACAAAAAAACAUUUAAAGAUAUCAGGGCAGAAUUUGUUCAACAGGGCACAAGUAUAGGGGCCACUGCAACUUUGGCUUGCCUUAAGGGAGAGAUUGAACCUAACUUUGCCUCCAAAAAGGACAAGUGAGGAUCCGUGGACCAAAAACUACUAGGAGGAAGCAUCAAGGGUAAGGUUUCUGACUAAGCUGACUUGACAGGAUUACUGCUGGGGGCAGCCAGAGUACUGAGACAUCAAGAGUGGUCCCACAUCAAGGGUGAGUUUUUUGUUAAACUGACUUUGCAGGAUUCUUGCUCAAACUGGAUUCAACAAGGACAGAGAAGGGAGCCCCAGUUCAGGCCUGGUCAGGCAGAAGACUCAGGAGCCUUAACAAAGUUUGAUCCAAGGAGAGAAAAACAAGAGUGCAUUAGCAGGGAGAUGGACUAGGUGUGGACAGCUGGGACUUCCAUAAGGGAUGCCGGCAUUGCAGCACUGUGGUAUGCGUCAGCCUGUUGCAGGCAUUUGGUGAGCGGAUGGAAGUGGAUGGAAGAUCUUUCACUCUGCCUUUCAAAUAAAAAAUGAAGGUUAAAAAAAAAAAAGUCGAAGGAACUAGUUAGGCCCUUUUGCCCUUCUGCCAUGUGCGGAUGCAGAGGCCAUCCUGGAAGCAGCGGAGGGCAGCCUUCUCCAGACAGCAGACCUGCUCAUGUCUUCACCUUGUCCUUCCCAGCUGCCAGCACUGGGAGGAAUAUACUUCAGUUCCUUACACAUUUCGCAGGCUUAGGUAUUUAGUUACAGCAGCAGGAACGGACUCAGACAAGAUACACUGCUACAUCAGAAGGUGCAGACACCUUCGGAGAUGGAUACGGGUGUGGCAGGAAGCUGAAGGCAAAAAAUACUGGACAAGCUCUUGCAGCGGCCUGUGUACGUGAGGAUCGAGCAGCCAGUCUCCUUCCUGAAGGCAGCUAAGAGUGAAAGUGCCCAGGCACACAAAGCUGCUUUCUGAAGAGCUGUACCCAGCCUCUACAUAUGAGGUCCUGAACAAAUCGCUACUGAACACUGCUCACCUAGGACUGCCCCACUCUAGAAAACAGACUUUAAUGAAGUUUUGCUGUCCAACCAAGAAUGACACAAACUAUCAAUAAGGUCUCAUCAUUUUAAUUGACUUUAAUGAUUAUUGCUCAUCUGCAAGGAUUAAUAUUGCAUUCAUUAAAAAUCAUUCAAUACAAAAUGAACUUGUUCCUCCCAGGGUGCUCGCCACACGCUCCCUCUGAUGCCAUACAUUUUCCACAGUGUCCUUUGUGACACGGCUUGACAGAGACGGAGCCCUUACCUAUAAUUCCUAUGGACACAGUAAUAGAAAUGGGAUCGGGGCAGGCCAGAGGGCAGUGGGCUCUGCGCCCCUCCCUCCAGCAGAGCUGAUGCAAUGGAUACACUGUUGGCCAGGUUACCUCCCCUAAUGGGUGUGUAUUCUGAUUGGCUGCUUAAGUGCCCUAGGAAAUAGGGCUUCCACUGUCAGCAUUUACAGAGAAGAAAGCAUGGUCACACUGGCAAGGGGUGAGAAGGGCCUGGGAGGGGAGAAACGGGAGGGGAAAGGGAAAAAUGUUUUGGCAAGAUAACUGUCCCCUGCUGGCAAGUGGCAGGCGAAGGCUUUCCUUUUGUAUAUUCCUGUUUUUAAUGUCUGUUUCUCUGAUCAGUGGAAGGAGAGAAGUGAAAACUUCUACUAUCUAGCAAUAACGCAUGACCCAACUUUGAAGGAUCACAAGCUAGAACACGUUGAGGACUUCAAAUCCUGGAUAAAGAUAUAUACUUAAAGCUCACUGGACCAUGCAGAAAUGCUGGGAAGCUGGGCGCAUGGCACGGGAACGCGUCUCUCUGACCUUGGACAGCGCUCUCUGAAGAUUCUGCCGGUACCUGAGCCAGGAUGCGGGAUCCUUUCUCUCCACACAACUGCCCUUUGAGAUCUGACUUGGUUCACCUCUGUGAAACUAACACCAUUGAGCGCCUAGGGCCCCAGACAAGUUACACAGAGCUCCAUCUCGCUCACCUGACCCAGUCUGUCAUUCUUCCUUUCAACAGCCACGCCUACCUCCCUUGAAACAGUUUAGGUUACAGAAGCACAGCGGGCCAGCAAUUUGCUCUUAAAAGAUAAAUCCUAAAGAUAAAGCUCAGUGCUUUACACUGAGUAAUGGCUCAAGAAGUUUGCCUUCAGCGCAAGCUGUAGGGGGCAGAGCUGAGAGAAGUUGCUGUUAUGGCUCCAGUUCACUGGUGCUAUAAACCAUGGGCUAGGAACAGAGGGACUUCAAGUUUGAGACUAGCAUGUCUCUGGACUCACCUCUGUACUCUUGGCUCCAAAGAGUCAAAAAAGAAAUUGGUAACAACUUACCCCCCAAGUAGUUCCUCAGUGUUAACACUAAGAAGUUUCCUUAUUAUUUUUAAUACAACACAAAUAAA